AUUGAACGCUGGCGGCAUGCCUUACACAUGCAAGUCGAACGGCAGCACGGGAGCAAUCCUGGUGGCGAGUGGCGAACGGGUGAGUAAUGUAUCGGAACGUGCCCAGUCGUGGGGGAUAACGUAGCGAAAGCUACGCUAAUACCGCAUACGAUCUAUGGAUGAAAGCGGGGGACCGUAAGGCCUCGCGCGAUUGGAGCGGCCGAUAUCAGAUUAGGUAGUUGGUGGGGUAAAGGCCUACCAAGCCGACGAUCUGUAGCUGGUCUGAGAGGACGACCAGCCACACGGGGACUGAGACACGGCGCAGACUCCUACGGGAGGCAGCAGUGGGGAAUUUUGGACAAUGGGCGCAAGCCUGAUCCAGCAAUGCCGCGUGCAGGAUGAAGGCCUUCGGGUUGUAAACUGCUUUUGUACGGAGCGAAAAGGCUCUCUCUAAUACAGGGGGCUCAUGACGGUACCGUAAGAAUAAGCACCGGCUAACUACGUGCCAGCAGCCGCGGUAAAAC
rnacentral:rRNA from 1 species